AAGUAGAAAUAAGAGUCUUCAAGAUGAAACUUGAGGCAUGAUUCACAGAAUGCAUCCAUUCACAGAAUGAUACCCACAGGGAUCUGUUGUGCUUUGUCCCCUUGGUCAUUGCCCAGAGCCCUGGUCACCAUUAGGACACAUCUGCCCUCUUUUUAAAUGCAUCACCAAGGGAAGCAAGUGCCAAUAUCCAGGGGCCAGACAUCACUGAGAAGUUACAUUUCUUAGGGUGGUGAGAAUAUCAAAUUAUCCUCUUUUGAUAAAUUUGAAGUCCAGCGUCACCUGAUGAAAGGAAACAUUGUCUCAAGCUGUAUCUUUCUUUUUUUUUUUUUUUUUUUUUGAGGCAGGGUCUAGCUAUGCAGUUCAGGCUGCCCUGGAGCUCACUUUCUUAGUUUGCAGUGUUCGUGUCCACAUCUCUUUCUCUCCUUCAGUAAGUGUCUUGUCUGCUCUGUGCCCAAUCUCUCUGCUUUGCUUAAGGUCAGAUCAAGGCAGGACAGGACAGCCCAGGCUGAGGCAAUUCCCACAGGAUGCCUUGUAGCCCCAUCCCUUAGGGAACUGAGGCCAAGGCUGUGGCUGUGGGUGUCCUGACCUGGGCCCAGUGCUAUUUGGACCUUUAGCAGCCUAAAGGCUGGCUCCUUACCUUUUAUGGCCAGUCUUGGUAAUAAGGACAAGCUCUGUUUUAUUUUAGUCCCAGAAAGUCUCAUUUCAAAAUUCUUAUCUUAGUUGAAGAAGAAUUAGGACACAACAUAUCCCUGCUAUCUUUGCUUGAAGAAUGAUUGUGUCUGUUUUCCCCUGGUAUUUUGGUGGCUUUUGGGACAUUCACUUCUGGCCCUUUUUCUCUUGAGUUUCUUCCUGUUACAAGCUCUUAUGAUCCUCACAAUGCCACCAUCUGAAUUUAGGCUUCCUUUCCUUUUGUUGAGAUGGCUUUCCCAACUCUAUUACUCAAUAAUGGGAUAGUAUCUACAGUAUUCACUAGAAGUCUGUCACCUCCCCACCCUCCUCUUCCUCCUGGUCCCCCUGACUCAGGUAGAAAUUAAGACUUUCUGCAGUAAUUUACAAAGAACCAACUCAAUGCUCAGCCUCACUUUUGAAAAUGACUUCCUUGAGCCAUGGUGUACAAAAUAGCUUUAAGAGAAAAGGGCUUUGGACAUUAACUAUUUGAGUUCUAAGCCUGAAUACUAGGCAUAGAAAACACCUUAUGCACACCCAGACUAGAAGGUGCCACAGAUAGGAGGCAAAGAAAGGUGACUGUUCAAGUGAGUCACUGCAGCAGAGUCCUGCAUGCAAUACUAUACCCUGUCCCUUAUUGUGCCAUCUAUAGACACUAGAGGAAAGGGUUCAUGGAAUUGAACCCUGAAUGAGUAAUAGAAUCUAUAAGCCAAGGAAAGGAAUCUCUGCUCACUUCCUGUGGUAUCUGUGAAUAUCAGGAUGACUUUCAGCAGCCCCACACCAUGGAUCAUGGGGACAAUAACAGUCUGAGACAGAUGUACUACAAGUGUUGUUCCCUAUGGUAUAUCUAACAGGACAAGGACAAUUAACAGGGCCCCUCAGACCAAGAAAGACCAUGAGCCCUGUGAGGGCCUUGCAGUGAGGAGCAGUAAAUCAGAUGAGGUUGAAGGGUACUGUUGAAAAUAUCCAGAUGUGCUUUUGUGUCCUCUACAAACCAUGUCCCCUCCUCCUUUAUUCUCCUGGGCCAGAGAGCAGCCAUGUGCCACUGCAGAGAAUGUGGUCCUUCUUCCACCUUGAACUUCAACCCUGUCUUCUGUUGUGAUGCCUGCCAAGAUAGUUUAACUGGAUGUUGGUGUCAGGUAUUUUGUCCCAGCAAUGAGAAAAGUAACUAAGACAUCACAACAACAGCCAAGGACAUUUACCUAUUCACAUGCAGAGGGAUGUUGUGAGAAUUAUGCUUCUCUCUUUUUUUUAAAGUGUGCAAAGGUAUUUAUUAGGUAAGCUCACAAGAUCACAGGUAUAAGAAUCCAAAAUGGUCAUCUAUGCAUGAAAAAUUCCAGUUAACUGAAGGAUUAGAACACUUGGGUUCUGAAACAUUUUCUCAUGUAUCUUUUCCCUUAGUAAAAAUUUCUAGUCAACUUUGGGGAAAGCUUGAAUUUAAUAAAAACCUCAUUUUCACUUAAAA